UGAGGAGAAACCAAUUGAAAUACUUGAUCGUAAGGAAAAACAACUGAGAAGUAGGGUGAUCCAAAUGGUGAAGUUCUAUAGGCUAACCACUUGACCUCUGAGGCUAUGUGGGAAGUAGAGGAACAAAUGAGAACGAAAUACCCCUAACUUUUCUCUUAGGGUGAUAUGAUUUUUUUGUAAUGAAUGCUCUAAUUGAAAGUUAUAUGAUACUGCAUGAUCUGAAUGUUUAUUUGAUGAAACGAUUUAUGACAUUGCUUAUUACGCAUAUAUCAUAUGGAAUGAAUUUUUAUAUGUAUGUUUAUUAUCAAUGAUUUAGGUUCUAACUGAGCUCCAGUUUCGAGGACGAAACUUUUUCUAAGAGGGGAAGGAUGUAAUACCCCAAGUUUUACUUUUAAUUAAUUAAUAACUAAUCUUAAUGAUUAAACUAAUAGUGAACUAAUUUUAGUAAAUAAAAAUUUCUAAGUUAAUUUCUAAGAUAUGUUGUUUAAUAAUUUUAGGAUAACAAAGUUCAUAAAUUAAAAUCCUAAGUCUUAGCAUCAAUCUUGUAAAUGAUGUAAGACUUAAGGUUAGCAAAAAUUCUGAUGGACCCAAUGCCCAAUGACCAAAUCCUUUGAAGCCCAAACAAAACAAAAAGGCCUAGUAUUUAUCUCUCCCAAAAUCAGAAAAUAAAACAAAAAUUAAAAGAAAAGCAAUAACUCCAUCUUCUUCCUCCUCCAUACGUGGAAGGACAAGAAUGGAGAUUUCUAAACAAAGUCAAAAACCAUCUCAGUAAACUUAAUUGAGUUUUCACUCUCUCAACCACCCUUAAUCCACUGGUUUUCUCAAAACCCCUGAAUUUAGCCACUUGUUUCUUGAAUGGUUUUGGUAAUUUAAAAUUCUGAAAUUCAUCUACUGAGAUGGAGAUUUCUCUAUAAAUAGGGAAGAAUGAUUGUGUUUUUGACAUCACAAAAUCAACAACAAUAAUUCAGAAAUUUACAUCAACUAAAAGAAUUUGGAACAAAAGUUUUUCAAAUCUUUCAACUCCUCUAUUCUUCUGUUUCGGCCACCACUUCAACCACAACGGUACCACCACCCAUCAUCAAUCUGCCUUUAUGCUGCCGUCGAGCAGGCAUAGCCGCCGCCGACCAACCGCCCCAGUCCCCUCUCCCGUCUCGCGCACUCCGUCGUCGCCUUCGAACCCUUGCACGCCCAUUCUCUCUCCUCCUUUCUCCACCCAUUAUUCGCUACUAUUGUGCCUAGUACACGCGCGUACUGCACUGAAAAUCGCCGCCGUGGGUCCGCGCUGCUCGUCGUCGACAACCGAGCCUCGCCGGAUUUCUGCCGGAGCUCCAUUCCUCUUGCUGCGACGCCGAGCCACGUUUCUCUCCUGCGUGUGUGUGUGUUUUCUUGGGAACUCGUUCCUCGGAGCUCAGUAAGGACGAUAUCCAGGACAUAAGAAGAGGAUUAUUAUUAUUACUCUGCAAUCAAGGUAACACCUACUGCUAGUACCCGCAAUUCCCUUUAAAUGUUUUUAUGAACAUGAGAACAAUGUGAUUUAGUGAAAGUUUAUCAAAAUGUUUAUUCUUGAGUUGCGGGAUGAUUACUAUGAUUUAUUUGUAAGUACAUUUUAUGAGUUUUAUGAACUGGAUGGAUUAUCAUGAGCUAUGGUUUAUGAAAAGAUGAUAUGAAAUGAUUUUUGCUACCUAAAUCAUUAAGGUAGAGCUGAGAUGAAAGAUUGAUGAUUAUCACCUAUGAAUAAUAAAUAUUUUGAAACAUGAUAACGUAAAGUGAAAGAACUGGUUUGCUGAGCUGAUUGGCGGUCGUAUACGUACCGAGCUGUUUACUGGGGCACUGACGCGUUACUGUUAUUAGGGCACAAGCCCGUUACUGGUGUAGGGUAAUGCCCGGGACACAGGUUCUUGCACAGUGGUGCAUACACAUGGCUGGGAGACGUCCCAGAGCUGACUGAUUUUGCAGCAACCAGAGUAAAAAUGUAUAAAAGGAUCAAUGGAUUAUAAAGGUGAAGUUGAAUAAAUGUUAUUUUGACAAAUGUUUGAAUUAUUCUUUCUCCCUGUUUGCAAAUAAAAUGAGUUGAAAUGAAUUUACGUUGUUGGGGUAGUUUGUUACUGAGCCUCGGCUCAUAACGUUUUGCUUUUAUGUUUUAGGUAUGGUCAGACAGUUGAAAGAUCGUUGGUAAAACGGAUUUUUGCUAAUGAGUGUUAAAGAAUCUAGUAUGGCACUAAUAGUAAGGGUUCGUAAGCUCAAGCUAGAAGCACUGCAAGAGAGAGAGUUUAGGAUGGAUCUCGUGUAUCGAUGCUGUUGUCUGUAUUUUAUAUCUUAUGAGCUAGGAAGAUUAUAUUAUUAUUAUGGCUAAUAUUGGUGAGUUUUAAGAAUUAUAUUCUCUAAGACUAUUUAAGCCAAUUAUUAUAUUUGUGGGCCCAUAACCCACAGGUUUAA